CCAAAAGCAUUUAAAGGAUACCUCCGAAGAAAUCACUACAAUGUUCUCCCUUGCACUGUACCUCUCUGGAAUCAGGUUGUUUUUUCACUUCUUUACAAGUUUAAAGGUAGAAAUUUCUUCAUUUCCUUACAAUUUUUGAACUCUGAAAUCAGUUGUAGAUAUAUGUACUCUGAACUAUGAAGAGUCCAAUGGUGGAAUGGGUUAUAUCUAUGAUCAACUGGAAAACCCGAGCAAACAAAAACUCUUUCUGAUUAGGGGUGAUAAUCGCAAUGACGAUGGUCUGUUACCUAUACUAGGUAACAUAAAUCUUUGACCUAGAUAUACGGGGUCCUGAUGGAAAAGAGUACUUGUUAAUGUCGGAUGAGGAGUUGAUGAUGCGGUGUUAAAUGAGUACUCUCAAAGCUUCAGGUCCUGUUGGACAGCAUUGCAACAAGCGUGUAUUCUCUGUGCAUUUGAAGCAUAACCCAACAAGGAUUGUUCAUGAGGUUUGGUUUGAUGCUUUGGUAAAUUUUUAUGAUGCUUUUACAUUUUUAACUGAAAUUUUAUUUGUUUAGGUGUUUGAUUCUUUUUAAAUUCUUAAACCAUGGGGGGAUAGUUCCCAACACAUGAAUUGUGUGUCUGCUUUAUCUUCUUUGUGAGCGUUAUCGUCUCUUAAAGUUGUUUCCCUGCUACAGUUCAAGCUUCCCAAGUUUCAUUUGCUUCAUUUCCUGACAGCUAUGCCUGAG